AUGGCCACAUCAGGUUGAAGCACUGGUUCCUGUAUAAUCACUGAAGUUAAGCAAUAUUGAGGCUGGUCAGUACCUCGGUGGGUGACCACUUGGGAAUACCAGAU